rnacentral:rRNA from 1 species
AGAGUUUGAUCCUGGCUCAGGAUGAACGCUGGCGGCGUGCUUAACACAUGCAAGUCGAACGAUGAAGCCCAGCUUGCUGGGUGGAUUAGUGGCGAACGGGUGAGUAACACGUGAGUAACCUGCCCCCGACUCUGGGAUAAGCCCGGGAAACUGGGUCUAAUACCGGAUAUGACCUCGCACCGCAUGGUGCGGGGUGGAAAGAUUUAUCGGUGGGGGAUGGACUCGCGGCCUAUCAGCUUGUUGGUGAGGUAAUGGCUCACCAAGGCGACGACGGGUAGCCGGCCUGAGAGGGUGACCGGCCACACUGGGACUGAGACACGGCCCAGACUCCUACGGGAGGCAGCAGUGGGGAAUAUUGCACAAUGGGCGCAAGCCUGAUGCAGCGACGCCGCGUGAGGGAUGACGGCCUUCGGGUUGUAAACCUCUUUCAGUAGGGAAGAAGCGAAAGUGACGGUACCUGCAGAAGAAGCGCCGGCUAACUACGUGCCAGCAGCCGCGGUAAUACGUAGGGCGCAAGCGUUAUCCGGAUUUAUUGGGCGUAAAGAGCUCGUAGGCGGUUUGUCGCGUCUGCCGUGAAAGUCCGAGGCUCAACCUCGGAUCUGCGGUGGGUACGGGCAGACUAGAGUGAUGUAGGGGAGACUGGAAUUCCUGGUGUAGCGGUGAAAUGCGCAGAUAUCAGGAGGAACACCGAUGGCGAAGGCAGGUCUCUGGGCAUUUACUGACGCUGAGGAGCGAAAGCAUGGGGAGCGAACAGGAUUAGAUACCCUGGUAGUCCAUGCCGUAAACGUUGGGCACUAGGUG